rnacentral:rRNA from 1 species
GACGAACGCUGGCGGCGUGCCUAAUACAUGCAAGUCGAACGCACAGUUUAUACCGUAGCUUGCUACACCAUAGACUGUGAGUUGCGAACGGGUGAGUAACGCGUAGGUAACCUGCCUGGUAGCGGGGGAUAACUAUUGGAAACGAUAGCUAAUACCGCAUAAUAUUGAUUAUUGCAUGAUAAUUGAUUGAAAGAUGCUAUUGCAUCACUACCAGAUGGACCUGCGUUGUAUUAGCUAGUAGGUGAGGUAACGGCUCACCUAGGCGACGAUACAUAGCCGACCUGAGAGGGUGAUCGGCCACACUGGGACUGAGACACGGCCCAGACUCCUACGGGAGGCAGCGGUAGGGAAUCUUCGGCAAUGGACGAAAGUCUGACCGAGCAACGCCGCGUGAGUGAAGAAGGUUUUCGGAUCGUAAAGCUCUGUUGUAAGAGAAGAACGGGUGUGAGAGUGGAAAGUUCACACUGUGACGGUAUCUUACCAGAAAGGGACGGCUAACUACGUG